GGGGAAUUGUUCGCAAUGGGCGCAAGCCUGACGACGCAACGCCGCGUGUGGGAGGACGCCUUUCGGGGUGUAAACCACUGUUGCCCGGGACGAACUUCUGGUUUCGACCAGACUGACGGUACCGGGUGAGGAGGCACCGGCUAACUCUGUGCCAGCAGCCGCGGUAAUACAGAGGGUGCAAGCGUUGUUCGGAAUUAUUGGGCGUAAAGGGUGCGUAGGCGGUGCGGUAAGUUUGUGGUGAAAUCUUCAGGCUCAACUUGAAGACUGCCGCGAAGACUGCCGUGCUGGAGUAUGGGAGAGGUGAGUGGAAUUCCUGGUGUAGCGGUGAAAUGCGUAGAUAUCAGGAGGAACACCUGUGGCGAAAGCGGCUCACUGGACCAUAACUGACGCUGAUGCACGAAAGCUAGGGGAGCAAAC
rnacentral:rRNA from 1 species